GAUGAACGCUGGCGGCGUGCCUAAUACAUGCAAGUCGAGCGAACAGAUGAGGAGCUUGCUCCUCUGACGUUAGCGGCGGACGGGUGAGUAACACGUGGAUAACCUACCUAUAAGACUGGGAUAACUUCGGGAAACCGGAGCUAAUACCGGAUAAUAUAUUGAACCGCAUGGUUCAAUAGUAAAGACGGUUUUGCUGUCACUUAUAGAUGGAUCCGCGCCGCAUUAGCUAGUUGGUAAGGUAACGGCUUACCAAGGCAACGAUGCGCAGCCGACCUGAGAGGGUGAUCGGCCACACUGGAACUGAGACACGGUCCAGACUCCUACGGGAGGCAGCAGUAGGGAAUCUUCCGCAAUGGGCGAAAGCCUGACGGAGCAACGCCGCGUGAGUGAUGAAGGUCUUCGGAUCGUAAAACUCUGUUAUUAGGGAAGAACAAAUGUGUAAGUAACUAUGCACGUCUUGACGGUACCUAAUCAGAAAGCCACGGCUAACUACGUG
rnacentral:rRNA from 1 species